GACGAACGCUGGCGGCGUGCUUAACACAUGCAAGUCGAACGGAAAGGCCCUGCUUUUGUGGGGUGCUCGAGUGGCGAACGGGUGAGUAACACGUGAGUAACCUGCCCUUGACUUUGGGAUAACUUCAGGAAACUGGGGCUAAUACCGGAUAGGAGCUCCUGCUGCAUGGUGGGGGUUGGAAAGUUUCGGCGGUUGGGGAUGGACUCGCGGCUUAUCAGCUUGUUGGUGGGGUAGUGGCUUACCAAGGCUUUGACGGGUAGCCGGCCUGAGAGGGUGACCGGCCACAUUGGGACUGAGAUACGGCCCAGACUCCUACGGGAGGCAGCAGUGGGGAAUAUUGCACAAUGGGCGGAAGCCUGAUGCAGCAACGCCGCGUGCGGGAUGACGGCCUUCGGGUUGUAAACCGCUUUCGCCUGUGACGAAGCGUGAGUGACGGUAAUGGGUAAAGAAGCACCGGCUAACUACGUGCCAGCAGCCGCGGUGAUACGUAGGGUGCGAGCGUUGUCCGGAUUUAUUGGGCGUAAAGGGCUCGUAGGUGGUUGAUCGCGUCGGAAGUGUAAUCUUGGGGCUUAACCCUGAGCGUGCUUUCGAUACGGGUUGACUUGAGGAAGGUAGGGGAGAAUGGAAUUCCUGGUGGAGCGGUGGAAUGCGCAGAUAUCAGGAGGAACACCAGUGGCGAAGGCGGUUCUCUGGGCCUUUCCUGACGCUGAGGAGCGAAAGCGUGGGGAGCGAACAGGCUUAGAUACCCUGGUAGUCCACGCUGUAAACGGUGGGUACUAGGUGUAGGGUCCAUUCCACGGGUUCCGUGCCGUAGCUAACGCUUUAAGUACCCCGCCUGGGGAGUACGGCCGCAAGGCUAAAACUCAAAGGAAUUGACGGGGCCCCGCACAAGCGGCGGAGCAUGCGGAUUAAUUCGAUGCAACGCGUAGAACCUUACCUGGGUUUGACAUGGAUCGGGAGUGCUCAGAGAUGGGUGUGCCUCUUUUGGGGUCGGUUCACAGGUGGUGCAUGGCUGUCGUCAGCUCGUGUCGUGAGAUGUUGGGUUAAGUCCCGCAACGAGCGCAACCCUUGUUCACUGUUGCCAGCACGUUAUGGUGGGGACUCAGUGGAGACCGCCGGGGUCAACUCGGAGGAAGGUGGGGAUGACGUCAAGUCAUCAUGCCCCUUAUGUCCAGGGCUUCACGCAUGCUACAAUGGCUGGUACAGAGAGUGGCGAGCCUGUGAGGGUGAGCGAAUCUCGGAAAGCCGGUCUCAGUUCGGAUUGGGGUCUGCAACUCGACCUCAUGAAGUCGGAGUCGCUAGUAAUCGCAGAUCAGCAACGCUGCGGUGAAUACGUUCCCGGG
rnacentral:rRNA from 1 species